UUCCCGACACCAAAAUCCCGGAGUGUUGUAAUCGUAAAUGUUCGCUGUUCCUUCCACGAUCUCCCCGAGUUUGAUAGAAUCCCUGAAAGAAAAGAACAUUUUCUUUAAAAUCCAGCUAUUAGAAAAAUCUUUGUUCGUCCGUCAAUCUUUACAAAUUGAACCCCCCUACACCAUCAUCUGGGUGAAUAUAUCCUGUUAAUCACCCUGUCUUAUACGAAUAAAGAUUUAAUUUUAAGGGCACCCAGAUAGCAUGACUACGUUGGGCCAACAUCGGUAAAUGGUUGUAUGGUGGGCGUGGGGUAGACAACGUUGGGCCAACAUUGGGCCAAUGUUACCAUGCCAAUCUUCUCAAUCAUGAUGGGAUUUCUAUGUUGGCCCAACGCUGGUCCAACGUAAAUCAACUCUUAUUUGCUUUAUUUUCCAAAGAUGUUGGGAUUCUGAAGUUGGCCCAAUGUUGGUCCAACGUUUGUAAUGCAUCCUUAACAAAGAUGUUUAAUCAAGCUGGUAAUAGUACAUUGGCCCAGCGUUGGCCCGAUGUUAGCAUGAGUUAAAUUCUUUUAUAUCAAGUGUUUCAAGUUGGAGUGAUUACAUUAGUCCAAUGUUGGCCCAACAGUUGUACUGCGAACUAAAUGCAAGCUGGGGAGCAUUACGUUAGGCCAACGUUGGUUCCACGUUUGUAAACUUUCCAUCUUGAUGUUGCCGCUAUGGUUGUGUUGCAAGAUAUCUGAUUGCAUAACAUUAAAGAAUGCUGAAUUUAAGAGACAGGUUAUGAAAUAGUUAGAGGACAUUCUUUGUCCAUGCUGAUUGCAUGCAAUUGGAUGACUGCAUCCAUUUAUAUUUGUUGUUAAGAACAACACAUCAGUAAGUUUUUUGUUCUAUUCUUUGAAUUUAAGCGGGUGUAUGAUUAUUUAGUUUUAAAAUCCUAAGCUCAAACUUUUAAUUCAAUCUUAUAUGUAUGACUUAAUUCAUGGGUGUUGCAUUAGAAGACUGGAUAAAAGUUUUCUUAUAAUAGUAUAAGUUCCCUGGGACAGGAUAUGAACGUAAAACCCAACCAGUUUUAUAAUUACAUUGAAACAAAGGUCAGGCUAAAACUAAAACUAAAGCUAAAACUGGGGAGUCACAGCGAUUAAAGCACCAAACUGUGGGAUGAGCCGUCAAAUUCAACUACUCACAGGUGGUUGAUAAACUCAAUAUGCAGAGCAAGUGAGAAGCGGGAGUUUAAAAUUUUGGAUUAUUCUUACAUGCAGCUGCUUCUUAAAAGAAAUCUUGGAAAACUUAUAUGCAUCGGAGGUGAUAAUGUUCAAACAUGUGUUCGGAGAUUACUGUCCUUUAUAAUGGCGACAAUUAACCUUAGUGCUCAAUGGAAUUGAAGUGGGAAAGGAACAAACAGAGGGCUGUCAAAUCUAGAAUUAAGAGACAUAAUAAAGGCUGUCAGGAUAAAAAAAACCUGUAGUGGUGUAACUGACAAUGAAAUCGCCAAAGAUCGAGAUGAGGGAGGCGACAAAGGGAGGAAAAAAGAACGAGCGGAAACGGCAACAGAGGGACAGUGAGGAAGUGAGCCAGGAUUAAAAACUUUUAAAUCAUUAUUUUUCAGAAAUGUCUACCAUCAUCUAUUUCAAACCUAUGUUGUAAUUUUUGACAAUUUAAUUCACAUAAAAAAUCAUUUUACAGCGAA